rnacentral:rRNA from 1 species
GUGAACGCUGGCGGUAGGCCUAACACAUGCAAGUCGAACGGCAGCACAGUAAGAGCUUGCUCUUACGGGUGGCGAGUGGCGGACGGGUGAGGAAUACAUCGGAAUCUACUUUUUCGUGGGGGAUAACGUAGGAAACUUACGCUAAUACCGCAUACGACCUACGGGUGAAAGCAGGGGAUCUUCGGACCUUGCGCGAUUGAAUGAGCCGAUGUCGGAUUAGCUAGUUGGCGGGGUAAAGGCCCACCAAGGCGACGAUCCGUAGCUGGUCUGAGAGGAUGAUCAGCCACACUGGAACUGAGACACGGUCCAGACUCCUACGGGAGGCAGCAGUGGGGAAUAUUGGACAAUGGGCGCAAGCCUGAUCCAGCCAUACCGCGUGGGUGAAGGAGGCCUUCGGGUUGUAAAGCCCUUUUGUUGGGAAAGAAAAGCAGCAGGUUAAUACCCCGCUGUUCUGACGGUACCCAAAGAAUAAGCACCGGCUAACUUCGUG